AGAGAGAGGUGGAAAGGAGACUGUAAUAUGUGUGUGUGUGGCUCAAGGCUGCAUGUUUGUCCAAAGGCUAAAGACUGUCAACCAGCUCGUCGCUGGGGACGACGAGCGGGCGCGAGUCGUUACUAUCAGCACGUAAUUUAAUGCCGAGUACACGCGCCCGUGUGUGUUUUUCCAUGUGUGUUUGUGUUGCGAUUUCUGGAUGUCAGUUACAGUUCUGUGGGCCUGAGGAGAGUGCAGCGGCGUCCCUCAGGGCGCUGUUAGUGCCACUCGUACAGAUGUGCUGGGCUGCCACUCUGUCAGUUUCUCUGCGUGUGUGUGUGCGUGUGUGUCUGUCCUUCUCUUACAGGAAGCUGAAGUUGCUCCUCAGGGUUUAGAGUUCUUAUUAGGGUUGGAUAUUGUCUUGAAUUCAUCAGCCUUGGUUCUUAUUGAAUCCUGGUUCCAAUUCUUGUCAUAUCUUUUGAGCAAGAAAAGAAUGGUUGAAGGCCAAAAGACACAUUUUAUUUUAGGUUGCAAUAAAUUUGUGACAAAUAGUUUCCCAACAAAUCCUUGUUUCUUGGGAAUUGUGAAUGAAACCUAACUACAAUCUCUCUUUAAAUCUUCCAUUUUUUGAUUUAUUGUAUGGUAUUUUUGUGUUGUUGAUAGACAUCAUCAAUUAGGUUAAAGAUUUUCUUUUCAGGAAAGCUGCGUUUUUUCCAAACAUAAAAACUACAGAACAAACGCAGUAAUGUUUGCUUUAAAGACAGCGAUCAAAAUGACACACGAGGUGAAUUAAAGUAAUAAACUUUAUUUAAAAUGCGCGGUUGAAAAUAAGAUUCUUAACUUUGUCAAUUCAAUUUUCAGUAUUUUAAAAUACAUGUUUCUGUCCUGCCAGAUGAUGAUGAAGGAGAAGAAAGUGGCUGGUUGGUUUCUGCCAAGGACAAAGAGGCACGGAUCUACAACAGAGACAAGGGUGCGAGGAUGACGGCGCAGCGGAUGUCAAACAGAUACUACACCAACAAGAACGUCCAGUGUAGAAACUGCAACAAGAACGGACAUCUCUCCAAGAACUGCCCCGAGUCCAAAAAGUUAGCACCCUGCUUUCUUUGUGGCAAUUCAGGCCACAUGGCCGUUGGUUGUCCCAAUAAGCACUGCAACAACUGCGGCCUGCCGGGACACCUCUACAAUUCCUGCAGCGAGAAACGGUACUGGUACAAGCGGUGCGAGCGCUGCGGCAUGAAGGGUCACUACUACGACGUGAGUAUGGCAUUCGUUUUUUUAGUUCGGAAUCAGAAGGCUCUGCACAUUUGAGCUCUGAUGUUGGGCGAUAAGGCCAGUUCAACCCCAACGAUAGUCAUAUGGUCUAUUUCAGAGGUUCUCAAACUUUUUGGGGCUAAGGAACCCUUACAGGGGAGAAGAUUUUCCGAGGACCCCUCAUUAUUGCAAUACCACCUAAGCCUAUGCUUACUGCAAUCUGUACUCUCAGAUGCCAUUGGAACUAUUUCUAUCCUGAAACUUUUCCACCUAAAUACUUACUAAAAUACAAAAUUCUAUUUAAAUCAGGUUAACACAGGUGGCAACCUCCGGUUCUGAAAAGUGAAGCCAAUGCAGAAGUGUCUUAAACUUGCAUUCUUUCUACUGGCCAU